AUGUUGUAUGAAAGUAGAGAAGGUUAGUACUUCCCUUGAUAAGGAUGGAAGAGAUCCUUGUGGCUUUUACAAAACAUAUAUGGUUAAGGAAUUGUCACAUACUCUGUGGCAUCUAACCACCAU